rnacentral:rRNA from 1 species
UGGGGAAUAUUGGACAAUGGGGGCAACCCUGAUCCAGCAAUGCCGCGUGUGUGAAGAAGGCCUGAGGGUUGUAAAGCACUUUCAGUGGGGAGGAGGUUAAUUAGGUUAAGAGCUAGAUUAAUGGACGUUACCCACAGAAGAAGCACCGGCUAACUCCGUGCCAGCAGCCGCGGUAAUACGGAGGGUGCGAGCGUUAAUCGGAAUUACUGGGCGUAAAGGGUGCGUAGGUUGUUUGGUAAGUUAUCUGUGAAAUCCCUGGGCUCAACCUGGGCAGGUCAGAUAAUACUGCUGAACUGGAGUAUGGGAGAGGGUAGUGGAAUUUCCGGUGUAGCGGUGAAAUGCGUAGAGAUCGGAAGGAACACCAGUGGCGAAGGCGGCUACCUGGCCUAAUACUGACACUGAGGCACGAAAGCGUGGGGAGCAAACA